GGCGCGCUGGCCGGGCGGGCUCGGGGCUGACGUCCCCGGCUGGUCGCGCGGCGCGGCUCGUCGCGCGGGCCCGGCUGCUCGCGCGGGUCUC
rnacentral:tRNA from 1 species